GACGAACGCUGGCGGCGUGCUUAACACAUGCAAGUCGAACGGAAAGGCCCUGCUUUUGUGGGGUGCUCGAGUGGCGAACGGGUGAGUAACACGUGAGUAACCUGCCCUUGACUUUGGGAUAACUUCAGGAAACUGGGGCUAAUACCGGAUAGGAGCUCCUGCUGCAUGGUGGGGGUUGGAAAGUUUCGGCGGUUGGGGAUGGACUCGCGGCUUAUCAGCUUGUUGGUGGGGUAGUGGCUUACCAAGGCUUUGACGGGUAGCCGGCCUGAGAGGGUGACCGGCCACAUUGGGACUGAGAUACGGCGCAGACUCCUACGGGAGGCAGCAGUGGGGAAUAUGGCACAAUGGGCGGAAGCCUGAUGCAGCAACGCCGCGUGCGGGAUGACGGCCUUCGGGUUGUAAACCGCUUUCGCCUGUGACGAAGCGGGAGUGACGGUAAUGGGUAAAGAAGCACCGGCUAACUACGUG
rnacentral:rRNA from 1 species